rnacentral:rRNA from 1 species
CCUACGGGUGUCAGCAGUAGGGAAUAUUGCUCAAUGGGGGAAACCCUGAAGCAGCAACGCCGCGUGGAGGAUGAAGGUUUUCGGAUUGUAAACUCCUAUUGUUAGAGAAGAGAAUGACGGUAGCUAACGAAUAAGCACCGGCUAACUCCGUGCCAGCAGCCGCGGUAAUACGGAGGGUGCAAGCGUUACUCGGAACCACUGGGCGUAAAGAGCGCGUAGGCUGGAUAGCAAGUCAGAUGUGAAAUCCUAUGGCUUAACCAUAGAACUGCAUUUGAACCUGUUAUUCUAGAGUAUGGGAGAGGUAGGUGGAAUUCUUGGUGUAGGGGUCCACUCCGUAGCGAUC